rnacentral:rRNA from 1 species
CCCUUAGAUGUUCUGGGCUGCACGCGUGCUACACUGAUAUUGCCAAUGUGUCAUUCUUAUCCGAAAUGGAUUGGGUAAUCAAGUAAUGAAAUUUCAUGCUUGGAAUCGGUAAUUGCAAUUUUAUCGUGAACGAGGAAUUCCUAGUAAGCACUAGUCAUCAGCUAAUGUUGAUUAUGUCCCUGCCCUUUGUACACACCGCCCGUCGCUACUACUGAUUGGGUGUUCAAGUGAGAUGCUUAGACCCUUGUUGCAUGGUUCAUUAUUGUGCUCCGAAAGGAAAAAGUUUCAAGCUUGAGUGUCUAGAGGAAGUAAAAGUCGUAACA